CUUGCUUCUCUUGAGAGCGGCGGACGGGUGAGUAAUGCCUAGGAAUCUGCCUGGUAGUGGGGGAUAACGUCCGGAAACGGACGCUAAUACCGCAUACGUCCUACGGGAGAAAGCAGGGGACCUUCGGGCCUUGCGCUAUCAGAUGAGCCUAGGUCGGAUUAGCUAGUUGGUGGGGUAAUGGCUCACCAAGGCGACGAUCCGUAACUGGUCUGAGAGGAUGAUCAGUCACACUGGAACUGAGACACGGUCCAGACUCCUACGGGAGGCAGCAGUGGGGAAUAUUGGACAAUGGGCGAAAGCCUGAUCCAGCCAUGCCGCGUGUGUGAAGAAGGUCUUCGGAUUGUAAAGCACUUUAAGUUGGGAGGAAGGGUUGUAAAUUAAUACUCUGCUGUUUUGACGUUACCGACAGAAUAAGCACCGGCUAACUCUGUGCCAGCAGCCGCGGUAAUACAGAGGGUGCAAGCGUUAAUCGGAAUUACUGGGCGUAAAGCGCGCGUAGGUGGUUCGUUAAGUUGGAUGUGAAAUCCCCGGGCUCAACCUGGGAACUGCAUUCAAAACUGA
rnacentral:rRNA from 1 species